rnacentral:rRNA from 1 species
GGGGGACCCGCUAUCGGGAAUUCUGGGGCGUAAAGCGAGCGUAGGUGGCUUGAUAAGUCAGAUGUGAAAUCCCCGGGCUUAACCUGGGAACUGCAUCUGAUACUGUUAAGCUAGAGUAGGUGAGAGGGAAGUAGAAUUCCAGGUGUAGCGGUGAAAUGCGUAGAGAUCUGGAGGAAUACCGAUGGCGAAGGCAGCUUCCUGGCAUCAUACUGACACUGAGGCUCGAAAGCGUGGGUAGCAAACAGGAUUAGAUACCCUGGUAGUCCACGCCGUAAACGAUGUCUACUAGUCGUUGGGUCCCUUGAGGACUUAGUGACGCAGCUAACGCAAUAAGUAGACCGCCUGGGGAGUACGGCCGCAAGGUUAAAACUCAAAUGAAUUGACGGGGGCCCGCACAAGCGGUGGAGCAUGUGGUUUAAUUCGAUGCAACGCGAAGAACCUUACCUGGUCUUGACAUACACAGAAUCUUGUAGAGAUACGAGAGUGCCUUCGGGAAUUGUGAUACAGGUGCUGCAUGGCUGUCGUCAGCUCGUGUCGUGAGAUGUUGGGUUAAGUCCCGCAACGAGCGCAACCCUUGUCCUUAGUUACCAGCGGGUUAAGCCGGGAACUCUAAGGAUACUGCCAGUGACAAACUGGAGGAAGGCGGGGACGACGUCAAGUCAUCAUGGCCCUUACGACCAGGGCUACACACGUGCUACAAUGGUAGGUACAGAGGGCAGCUACACAGCGAUGUGAUGCGAAUCUCAAAAAGCCUAUCGUAGUCCAGAUUGGAGUCUGCAACUCGACUCCAUGAAGUAGGAAUCGCUAGUAAUCGCGGAUCAGAAUGCCGCGGUGAAUACGUUCCCGGGCCUUGUACACACCGCCCGUCACACCAUGGGGAGUUGAUUGCACCAGAAGUGGUUAGCCUAACUUAGUGAGGGCGAUCACCACGGUGUGGUUGAUGACUGGGGUGAUCAAAAAAAAAAAAACCACACACAAGAAAAAAAAAAUAAG